AUUGAACGCUGGCGGAAUGCUUUACACAUGCAAGUCGAGCGGCAGCACGGGGGCAACCCUGGUGGCGAGCGGCGAACGGGUGAGUAAUACAUCGGAACAUGCCCAGUCGUGGGGGAUAACACUUCGAAAGAAGUGCUAAUACCGCAUACGUCCUGAGGGAGAAAGCGGGGGAUCUUCGGACCUCGCGCGAUUGGAGUGGCCGAUGUCAGAUUAGCUAGUUGGUGGGGUAAAGGCCUACCAAGGCAACGAUCUGUAGCUGGUCUGAGAGGAUGAUCAGCCACACUGGGACUGAGACACGGCCCAGACUCCUACGGGAGGCAGCAGUGGGGAAUUUUGGACAAUGGGGGCAACCCUGAUCCAGCCAUUCCGCGUGAGUGAAGAAGGCCUUCGGGUUGUAAGGCUCUUUCGGCAGGAACGAAACGGUGAGCUCUAACAUAGCUUGCUAAUGACGGUACCUGAAGAAGAAGCACCGGCUAACUACGUGCCAGCAGCCGCCGCAGUAA
rnacentral:rRNA from 1 species